rnacentral:lncRNA from 1 species
ACCUCCUAAACAAACAAUAAUCUUUACACCAACUGCCAGAAUAAGUCAACCAAACAUUCACCAGUUCUGGUUCUCCAGUCCACAAGAUAGCAGAGCAGUUACUAACUAUUUACAAGAAUUUAAGUAUUUUACAACAAAAUCCUACAUUUCAUGGGUGGCGCGGGAGCUAGGAGUGGCCCGUGGUGGAUUCCUGUGCACUUCUACUGCCUGGAGGCGAAAAAUAAUUUGAAAGUGUGAGUGGACAAAAAUAACGUUCUCAAAACAAUUUAUAAACAUAGUAACCCCCGUUGUAAAAAUGAAUAGGUAUGUAAAUCUGAAGUUCGACUGUAUUCAAAUACAGGGCAUUCAAAAAAAACAUGUAUAUGUAUAUGUAUACGUAUCUAUACAGAUGUGAAACAUGCACGAAUAUCAAGAAAACUAGUAUAAAAUGACUGAAAGCAAUAAUUACAUAAAAGCACUAAAAUUCUUUUAAAACUACCACCUAAAUGUACCCCUGUAAAUCCGUCAAUUCCCCUGGAAGGUCUCGGCGACACACAAUCUGUCCGAGCCGCAAACUGGCAGGAUUCAGGGGACUAUGGUCAGCCUGAUCCGCUGGCAGGUCUCGAUGACACCAAGUCGACUCGAGCCGCUCUGGCAAGAUACAGGGGACUGUAGUCAGCCUGAUCCGCAAUCCUGGUAGGUCUCGAGGACACAGAGUCAGCCGAGCCGCAAAUCCUGGCAGGUCUCGGGACACCAAGUCUGCCGAGCCGCAAAUCCUGGCACUCACGGUCCGAGCGUCCCCGAAACUCGUGAGGCAAUGUCAAGUGCACUGACAGAACUGUAAACAGACUGGAUGUCCGUAGACAUCGGUCCAUCUGAGGGUAAUCAUCAAAUAAAAAUGGGUACGUGGUGGUUUUAAAAAUAAAUAACUUUAGGAAAAUGUGAUUAAUAACUGUAAUCUAACAUUAUGCUGCUAUCUCAUUUGAUUUAGACCUCAAACUCUGUUUCUAUAACUUUUAGCAUGUGACUGAGCAGCAUGAAAUUAUAGAAAUAUCACGGUACUAAUCAAGCUCGGAAACUUUCAAUAAAACUUAUUCAAAAUCAAAUAAUAAAAUUCAUGCAUAUAAACUUAUUUAUAAAAUCGUUUGUAUAAACUUAUUUAUAGAAAAUCAUUUAUGAAAGAAAGGUCCACUCACUGCUGGUCCGAGCUAGCUGGACCCUUUGAAGGUCCCUCCUGAGGUUUUGCCGGUCCUCUGGUGCCUGAUUACCCAUAAAGAUUAAAUUAAUAAAACUGCUCAAUAAAAGAAUUAAAUUAAACACCCUGCCCCCGGCUCCUAGAAAUGCGUGUACUCAUUUUAAAGUCACUCCUAUGCCCACUUUAGCCUUUCAGACAAUUAGAACGGCCUUAAAAGACCUGAAGCUGUUCCAAGCGAUAAACUGUCAAACCGGCCGAUCCGGAACCUCGUGGGGUCCACGAUCUCCGAUGGCCAAUCUGGGAUUCUCUAAAGGUUCCUUACAGAGAAAGACCCAUGUCCUGCGAGUUUGGUCCAAAACGGACGGUCGGAUUAGCCAAAAUUGCAUUAUCGCUUAAAAAUCCAAACUCUAGCCCUAGGGUUCACGAUUUCGGAGUAUACGGGACUCCGAUUCGCAAUCCGUCGUAUCCUACACGAUCCUGAAAUCAUGUAAAAUGACAUAUCUGAAUUUGGGUGCGAUCCAACGGCUCGACGACACUGCACCCAAGGAUCGCGAAAUAUGGAAAAUCUGUUCGGGGCUCAAACGGACUCCAAAUCGAGAUCCGCGAAAUCCUACGCGCUCGAGACAACACGAGGAUCGCAAAACUACUCAAAGUCACUUCACUGCCCUCAUCCACGCGCCGCCACACGCGCGGGCAGUUUGGGUGUCCAAAGCGAUACCGGCUCGCUGGAAAAUCUCAAAACCAAGGCUCCAAACUCCUAUCCUCGGUAAAACACCCCAUUUGGAGCCACUUUUGUUCUUGGACAUACCCUAAAAAGUGGCCGGAAACGGCCGAUCGCAGAGGCUGAAGUUCGGCCAAUUUUCAAUUCGAAAAUCGAGUGAUCUACGGCUAAAAUCGAUGAAAAUCUAACCAACCAACAGCUAGAGCAUGAAAAAUAGGUGAGAAUCCAUACCUUACUCGAAAGAUUUGGUUGAGAAUUGAGGGAGAACGAAGGGUCUGAAAAUCGGGCGAAAACCGGUCGGAAAUCUCGAUUUUCCGGCCAGUUCCGGUCGGCCCAAGGGCGGAGAAGGGUCGGGAAAGGACGGCGGGGCCGAGGCGGUUCCGAUGGUACCAACGCUGACGAUCGGGACGGCCUGUGGUGGUGGCUGUGUUGAGCGGAAGGGGAGGGGGCGCGGGUCGCGCGACGGGAGGAGAGAGAGAG